rnacentral:rRNA from 1 species
UACAGAGGUCUCAAGCGUUGUUCGGAUUCAUUGGGCGUAAAGGGUGCGUAGGUGGCGGGGUUAGUCAGGUGUGAAAUCUCGGAGCUCAACUCCGAAACUGCACUUGAUACUGCCUUGCUUGAGUACUGGAGAGGAGAUUGGAAUUUACGGUGUAGCAGUGAAAUGCGUAGAUAUCGUAAGGAAGACCAGUGGCGAAGGCGAAUCUCUGGACAGUUACUGACACUGAGGCACGAAGGCCAGGGGAGCAAACGGG